CAACUUGAGAGUUUGAUUCUGGCUCAGAACGAACGCUGGCGGCAUGCCUAACACAUGCAAGUCGAACGAGACCUUCGGGUCUAGUGGCGCACGGGUGCGUAACGCGUGGGAAUCUGCC
rnacentral:rRNA from 1 species